rnacentral:rRNA from 1 species
GACAGAGGGUGCAAACGUUGUUCGGAAUUACUGGGCGUAAAGGGCGCGUAGGCGGCCGAUCAAGUCAGGCGUGAAAUUCCCGGGCUCAACCUGGGGGCUGCGCUUGAUACUGAUUGGCUUGAAUGCGGGAGAGGAUAGUGGAAUUCCCAGUGUAGAGGUGAAAUUCGUAGAUAUUGGGAAGAACACCGGUGGCGAAGGCGGCUAUCUGGCCCGUAAUUGACGCUGAGGCGCGAAAGCGUGGGGAGCAAACAGG